rnacentral:rRNA from 1 species
CAGUGGGGAAUUUUGCGCAAUGGGCGAAAGUUUGACGCAGCAACGCCGCGUGCGGGAUGAAGGCUUUCGGGUUGUAAACCGCUUUCAGCAGGGAUGAAAUUGACAGUACCUGCAGAAGAAGCCCCGGCUAACUACGUGCCAGCAGCCGCGGUAAUACGUAGGGGGCGAGCGUUAUCCGGAUUCAUUGGGCGUAAAGAGCGCGUAGGCGGCUUAGCAAGUUGGAUGUGAAAGCCCUCGGCUUAACCAAGGAAGUGCAUCCAAAACUGCUGAGCUUGAGUAGUUAAGAGGAUCGCGGAAUUCCCGAUGUAAAGGUGAAAUUCGUAGAGAUGUGGAGGAACACCAGUGGCGAAGGCGACUCUCUGGUCUGUAACUGACGCUGAGGAGCGAAAGCGUGGGGAGCGAACA